CAAGCUAAGAAACUGGGACGCGUCUUGAGAGGCAGAGGACUCUACCGAGCCUACUGGGUCAUCACCUGAAUCCAAGAGCAUGCAACACACCUCAGACCAGAGGCCCCAAUACAAGACAAAAUAUCACCUUAAUGUCCAGGUGAAACAUACUCACUUCUUCACCCGUGGACACUCACUUCUUCACCCGUGGACACUCAGAGCUCCCGUCUCUGUCAGACACGUGUCACCUCUGCUAACACACCCAGGCAUCUCCGGGAGGACAGGGAACUGUCAUCUUCUCCAAGAUGGUUCUGCUCCACCCAACCCAGGCUUUCCUAAAGCCCCAAACUCCACACCGGAGGCAACGCCUGAUGAAGCAACGUUCCCACCACAGCAUCCACCUUAACCUUCCAAAUGCCACUGCUGUGAAGAGGAGCCAUCGCAGAUCGCCAUGGCGACAGAGCCCUUCUGACCCAGGGGAUCCACUGCUCUCAGGCACUGUCCAACCGACACCUGGUAUAGCCGAUUGUUUUUCUGAAAAAAAGGUAGCAACAAAAAAAUACUGCCAAUUACUGGCAAAACAUGGAAAUCCAGAGGAGAGAUGGAGCACUUAAGAAUUCAGAUUAAGGGAUACAAUAGUCCCCUCUUAGCCAAAGGUUAGUUUUCUGCUGUUUGUUAUCUGCAGCACAAUACAAUAAGAUAUUUU
rnacentral:lncRNA from 1 species